GAUGAACGCUGGCGGCGUGCCUAAUACAUGCAAGUCGAGCGAAUGGAUUAAGAGCUUGCUCUUGUGAAGUUAGCGGCGGACGGGUGAGUAACACGUGGGUAACCUGCCCAUAAGACUGGGAUAACUCCGGGAAACCGGGGCUAAUACCGGAUAACAUUUUGAACCGCAUGGUUCGAAAUUGAAAGGCGGCUUCGGCUGUCACUUAUGGAUGGACCCGCGUCGCAUUAGCUAGUUGGUGAGGUAACGGCUCACCAAGGCAACGAUGCGUAGCCGACCUGAGAGGGUGAUCGGCCACACUGGGACUGAGCCACGGCCCAGACUCCUACGGGAGGCAGCAGUAGGGAAUCUUCCGCAAUGGACGAAAGUCUGACGGAGCAACGCCGCGUGAGUGAUGAAGGCUUUCGGGUCGUAAAACUCUGUUGCUAGGGAAGAACAAGUGCUAGUUGAAUAAGCUGGCACCUUGACGGUACCUAACCAGAAAGCCACGGCUAACUACGUGCCAGCCGCCGCCGUAA
rnacentral:rRNA from 1 species